UUUGGUCAGUGAAAUUGUUCUCUCCCUCUUUUUGUCUAAUCGUUUUCAAUAUAGCACAAAAAACAUAAUGUGAAUGCGGGACUUUUAUUCUUCAUGGCAUGCAUAGCUAUUUCUGGCAUAAUGUGGCUUAAGAGGGUACAUAAUCCCUCUAAACAUGAAAAGCUUCUGGUUAAGAAAAAAAUGAACAGCUUGUUAAGAUUCUGAGAUUGCAAUUGCGUUUGGAAGGAAAGUCGACAUGCACGGGGUUCCCCAGGACCAAGUUCAACAACCACCAGCCCAUGUUAAUGUCAGUUUGUCCUCCUGCACCUGUGGGCCAGGUAGAGCACCUCCUGAGGAGCUGGAGCAGGAUGUGAGGUCAGAGACUUUCAAAAUGGCAGACUGCAUUGGGUGUGAUUGGGAGUGACUUAGCAGAAAGUAGCAGCAGAAGAGUUUUAUAUUUCCUCAAGCUCCAGUUUCUCUACCUGUGAGAAGUUCAAGACUCUUUACCUGUUGGAGUGCUUUACCUGCGCUGACCUAAAGCUCAACUGGAGUUUCUGCCUUGAGAACCUCGACUGGGGAAUACUCUCUCUUCAGCAGGUAAUCCACAUAGUUCGGAGUACCCAAUCGUUCCCCGGCUGCGGGUAUGCCCCCCCCCCCCUCCUCGCGUGGACGAGCCCACGCUCCCUCUCGUCAGCGGCUGAUUCCGAGGCUGAGCCCGCACGGGAAGGAAGUGGGGAAGUCUGAGGAAAGAAGCGCGUCACGUACCGCUCGAGCAAGCAGAUGGGGAGCGUCGGACCGAGCCCCUCCCUCCCUGGGUUGCUUCCCAGAGAUGAGAUUUCCAGAUCAGCACCUUGGAGAGCCACAGUGAUAGUCUUC